AUAUCUAGUGGCGGACGGGUGAGUAACGCGUGGGAAUCUGCCUUAAGACGGGGGAUAGCUAGCCGAAAGGCUAAUUAAUACCGCAUAAGCCUAUAUUUCGACAGUUUUAUAGGUAAAAGGAGUAAUCCAUCUUAAGAUGAGCCCGCGUACGAUUAGCUAGUUGGUAGGGUAAAGGCCUACCAAGGCUACGAUCGUUAGGUGGUCCGAGAGGACGAUCACCCACAAUGGAACUGAGACACGGUCCAUACUCC
rnacentral:rRNA from 1 species